GCUGGCCCACCCAGCUAAGCCAUCAAAAACCAGCAAGAGUUGGGACAUGAUGGAAGGAUGGUGAUGAUUUGAUUUUUUUCUUUGUCUCCUCCACGGGGAAGAAAAUCAACAACCCAACUUCUGACCUGGACCGCCUGCAUGACAAGCACAACCUCCCCUAUGUGAACAGCCAGACUGUGCGGAGAAUAUUUGAGAGGGAAGCUAACCGCUUCUUGGAUGAGCCUCAGAAGGCAUUGGUGUCUGACUACCUGGCCCAUUGUGGCAACACAGCUGUAAAACAUGACCGCAUGAAAAAUCGUGGGGCAGUUGUGAUGGCCGCUGAUAUAUUGACCAGGAUGGGUGAGAUGUCAAGUGCCAGGCCUUCUGGAGAAGGGGCCAGUCGUGAGCUGUUUGGAGAAGGGAAUAUUCUUCAAUCCGAAGAGUCCUCCAGCCAUGGUGACCAUUGUGCUGUCCUCUCCUUGAAACAGCCAUUGAUACAUUUGCACAAGCUCCCAGAGGAGAAUGAAAAGAACAAUUCAGUCGGCGUAUGCCAACCAAAGAUCGGGUCGAGGCAUGGGUAAGAAAGCAGGGAUGGAAGGGGAUGACUGCCAACAUAGCCAUGGAAGUUAUCCAGAA
rnacentral:lncRNA from 1 species